GCCGGGGUGGCCGAGCGGUCUAAGGCGGCGGGCUGCAGAUAAAUUUUGAAUUAAACCGCCUAUCGAUUUAAGUGGAAACCCGUUUUAUCGCGGGUUCAAAUCCCGCCCCCGGCU
rnacentral:tRNA from 1 species